rnacentral:lncRNA from 1 species
GAGGUGACUUCUCAGUUCCUUAGACUGAGGCGUCUGGAGUCUGUCCUGACUGUCAGUAUUCUCUGACCACCUUCCCAGCCUCCUCCUUGUAACAGAGUCAACUCUGGGUUGAAAAUGGGAAGACAUGACCCUGGAUCCACUUCCCCUCCAAAGCAAGG